UCUGACUUAGCCCUACCAGGAACAAUCCAUACGUAGCGCGUAUCUCAAGGCCAUUAAGGCCAGCCAGAGAACUGAUGGCACACCUCCUGGUAUUAUAAAUCGUGCACAUGGAACAUUCAAUUACAUUGCAAGAUCUUGGGACUUCUCUCUCCGGUAUAUCUAUCCCUAUCCCACCUAUGCCCCCGCCGGUUAUUAUACACACACACACACAUAUAUAUAUAUAUAUACACUGUCACCAUUAUUAGGCCCAUCACCAAUUGCUAUUUUUCUGACUAUUCUGUUUCACGAGUGCGAGGACACCCGGAUCUCACCACGUAGAUAUCUCAUAGGCAACAUGCGUAGUGCAACAUACAUACUGCCGUCUCCCUAUGAAGUUUGUCCUCCCGCCGUAUCCUUUUAUCUUCUAUAGGUUGAGCUUUGUUGCACGCGUGGGUGGAUGCUAUAAACAUGUCAGAUUUGCACCCUGGAAGAGAUAACCAAUCGAUAAGAACAUCUAUGCCGUC
rnacentral:sRNA from 2 species